rnacentral:lncRNA from 1 species
UUUAUUUCAUAUCGGUUGAGAAUAAGAUUUUCUUAUUGGAUAAAAAGGGGUCACAUGACAUUCAUUAAUCUUCAGUAAUAAAUUCCAUCGGUCAUUAACAGAACAAAACGGACCAGAAAACCGGUCGUUAAUGAACUUUUACAUGAUAUGGACCGGUGGGGCGUGGUUUACGUCUGAUAAUGACCGUUGGGGCGUGGUUUCCGUUUGAUAUUGACUGUUGGGGCGUGGUUUCUCUGUUAAUGACCGAUGGGCGUGGUUUCUCUGAUUAGAAAGAUGUACCUUUUAUAAAACAUGUUACUGUUUUUAAUAUAACAUUUAAGUUGUUGAAUUGUUAAUUAUAUUUUUUCGUUAAUUGUAAAAUUAAAGAGAACUUAAUUAAG